AAAGAGAAGAGAAGAGAAGAGAAGAGGAGGGUGAUUAGGGCACGCCGCCGUCCGUCGUUGUUAUUCCCCUCCAAAAACCGAUUGGGGGCAAUCGAAGGGUUACCGUGACCCUCGCCGCCAAGAAAACGGGGGAAUCGUUGUUUGGAUGGUCGCCGUCGCCGUCGCCUUUGAUCUUUUCAAGGGGAAACCCUAGGUGAUGCACCUUCGGACCGUGCUUAGCUCACGUUCUUGAUCUUCGGUGAAGGCAAGUAAACGUAGCGUUGUGGUCUACUCGCUUUAACUUUGUUAUUUGAGUUGCCUCCACUUAAUUUCAGUACCUCACAUGAGUCAUAUGAUCUAAAAUUUAUGUUUUUUAUAUAUUGAAAUAUUAUGUGAUCCACUUAUGGCUUCACUCUUGAAGUUCGAAUCAUGAAGUAUAUGAAGUUCAUGCAUUGCAAUCUUGCAUUUGCAUCAUCAUGUUGUAUGGUGCCUUUGAUACUUGGUGUUCCUUACCAUGUUUAUUGAAGCUUGCAGAAAUAGAUUCCUGGCAUAAAUAACCAAAGCUCCACCAAUCAAGUUCUGCAAUGUCUGCAUGUUACAUUGUAGAGAUGGUUCCUCUCAUGCAUCAACUUACCAAAAUGUAGCCUUGUCUCAAUAUGCUGCGGCCUGUGAAGCAUACUGAUCGUUUAUUUGAGCGGUGAUCGGGCGGGUGAUGCAGUAGUGGCCAGCUUGUGCUUGCGGUGACGGCGGUGAGGUGGUUGUGGGUGACAUUGUCACCCAUGGCUGAAGGCUCUUUGCUGGAUACAAUAAAGCAAUAAGAGUAUUUCAUGUUCAUCAGCCUAGUAGAGAUUUUAAGCGGUAUUCUUUACUCAAGGAAUGUGGCGGGCCAACCCGUAAGUGCAAAUUCCAUCUGUAUGUUUUGUGUCCUUGAUAUAUUUUUGAGCAUCCUAAAAACUCAUUUGGAGCAUAUUGUUCAUUGAUUCUGCAAAUGUAUUUCACAUUCUUUUUCCUGAAGCAAUAGCAUUUCAAUGAAAACACUAAAAUAACUUUGUGCUGGAGCUUCUUGUUGUACGUAUAUGGCAUGUAUAUGUCAUGUCUGUGUUACUAUAUUUUAGGGCACUAUCACAAUGAGGCUGCAGAAUUGUAAUUGGCAUGCAAGAUGAGUUUGAAGAUGAGAGGAACUUGGGAGGUGCGUGUAGCCUUUUUGAUAUAUGGCCUACAAACCAUAGCUCCGUUGCUUCAAUGACAGAUGCGUGACAAAAUACAGACGGAACUUUGAAGACAUCUUGAAUAUAAUUAUGAGAAUCUGUUUGUAAUAUUUUUCAAACAGCAGAUAACAGAUGGCUAUUUUGUUUGUCGUAUA